GGUCAGUUCCCAGCACCACAAAAGCAAUUAACCUGCUCUGAAACACACAAGCACAGGCUUCCAGCUUUUCAAAAUGAAACUGCAUAGAGUAGGCAUGUAUUCAUAUGAGAGUGAAGGAAACAAAACCACAGCACUGGGGAGCAGUGGCCCCAAGAGAGCCACUGACGUGUAAAAUGGCUGGGACCAGGUGGAGAACAGUAGGUACCAGGGAAGGAAAUUCAGAGGGCCCACCCAAGAUAACUGUCAUGUGUAAUUUCUUAGCCUAGCAUUGUGAAUACUGAUGCUCAUUUUAUUCUUUAACUAUUUUUGUUUACUAUAUUUCCUACAUUUUAUGAACUAGUUGCUACUUAUGUUACAUGUUAAUAAAUAAAGGAAAAUCUGAAAAAAAUGAAAAACUAUUGGAGCAUGUGGGUAGAAACAAUAAACAGAAAAUUAUGCAAAUUUUUAAUAAGCAGAAAAUUUAGAAAGAGUCAAAAUAUAGUAUGUGGCUGAGUAAUAAACAGUAUCUAAUUAUAAUGAAAAUGUCAAUUACUGAUUUCAAAAUUUGAAUGUUACAAAGAGGUAAAAUAAGAAGUAAAGAAGAAAUGAAAGCCUUAUAUUCCCAGCACAUUGGAGGUUGAAUCAAGAGGAUUUCCAUAGAUGAGAGGCCAGUGUGGGUUACAUAGUAAACUCAGGACAGCAAAUUAAAGACAGUCAGACCCUAUCUCCAAAAAAAUAAAUGUUUUUAUUACAAAAUAACAAAACCAACAAUAAUUCUAAAGACAGUAACAUUUAAAAGCAUACAUUUCUUUUUAAAAAGGGCAUAUAUACAAUGUGUCAUUUUUGUAACCAGCUAUAGCAAACAGAUUCUUCAGUGGCUCCCUGCCCUGAAUCUCCACUCUAGUAGUCACCCUUGUGCAAAUAUCACUGAUGGGUGGGACCUGCAAUUUACUUCUGAGCAAGUGAAUAUGGCAGAGGUGACAGGAUGGCACACUGGUGACUGUAUUACAUUAUAUAAGACCAUGGUGUUAGCUGACUUGCUGCACGGAUUCCCUGUGGCUUGAUAAAAAUACAAGAAUGGCAAACAACUGCAGGUUGCCCCAGGAGCUAACCGACAGUGGUCUUUAGCAGUUAGUGAUCCCUAGUUCCUCAGGAGAAGCCUCAGUACUAAAGCAUAGGAAUAGCGAUUCUGGCAGCAACUUGCACGGAUUUUCCCCAAGGUAAGUCUCCAGGUGAGAGAGACUCAGCUGAGUCAGCACCCUCAGGACAGCCUCAACACUCUGCAGAGAACCCAGCUCAACCCACUCAACUGCUCAAGCUCUGACUCCGUCCACACCGAAACUCAGGAGAUCAAAUACAUGCUGUUUUAAGCUACUAAAAGUUUGUAUAAUUACACGCAGUAGUUCUGAUCUUUAAAUCUUUGAACAGAAAAACUAACUAAAGUCAAAGAAUACAAAAACAAGGGGGGGGGUGCCCUGGAGAAAGGAGGGAGGGAGAAGACAGAGAGGGAAGGAGAAAAAAAGAAAGAGAUUUCUACAUCCCAACAAUCCAAAACGGAAAUUCAGAAAACAAUUCCAUUGAUGAUAGCACAAAAAUAAUAAAAUACUUAGGAAUAAACUUAACCAGGGAGACAAAGUCUCUACAUUGAAAAUACUGCCAAAAGAAACUGGGGAGGCAUAAAUUAAUUGAAAGACACUAUCCAUGCUCACAGAUUAAACGACAGCACUACUAAAACAGCAAAACUGGCAAAACAAUUUACAAAUUCAAUAAAAAGUCCAGUGUGCUGGUUAAUUUUAACUGACAACUUGACAUACCUGGGAAGACAGUCUUAAUUGAGGAACUGCCUAGUUCGGGUUGCCCGUGGCCUGUCAGUGAGAGAUUAUCUUCUGACUCAGUCCACUGCCCACGCUGGACCCUGAACUCCUAUAGUUUGACAGUGAAUCAAACUAUCAAGCCAGCAGGCCGGCAGCAUGGAUGCACUCAUUUCUCUCUGCUCUCAACUGUGGGUGGAAUGUGGGCUGUAAACUCCUGCCUUGACUUCCCCACAAUAACCGACUGUGAGUUUGAAUUUUGGGGCAAAUAAGCCCUCUCUCUCCCCUCGACCCUUCUGGAUUCAAAAUUUUAUUAUAAAACUACAGUAUUUAAAACGGCAUGCCACUGGCAUAAAGCAGACCCAUAGACCAAUUAAACAGCCUAUUUAUAAAUCCCCAUAUGCGGUCAAAUGACUGUCAAUAGAGAUGCCAAGACCAUCCAAAAGAGAAUGGAUCAUCUUUCCAAAAAACUGGAAUUUCAUACUUGGAUAAAGUCAGACCCUCCAGACUAUCCUAUAUAGAAAGUUAGUGCCACGUCCACAGCAGUGACUGCCGUGUAGUGACAAAAUGCCUCUGCGCUGGCUUUUGCCUGCUGAAGGAUUGGGGUUAGAGCUUCUUGGAGCGAAGCCCCAGGUGGUCCCCCUGGCAAUCAGCAGUCCAGAGAGGACCUGAUGCCCUAGGCAAAUCUCAUAUCUGGAGAUGGCCCUGAGAGCGAGCACUCCUAACACCCUGUAUGAUCUUUCUCUGUAUUUCUCAAUUUUCCUGUUUGCAGCUGCCCGCUUACCAAGAGAUCAAAGUACGUCCUUGGCUUGGCUCCACUGUUCAAUAAAGCAGUCCUUGAGGAACUGAAGUAUGCCCCACGCCACAUGAGCCUGGGAAACUUUAUUAUUUAUGAAACAGAAGCGGCUAAAGUUGAUAUGUUACGAGGGAAUCGUCAUAGUGAAUCAGAUUUAGAGAGAAAAGGAGAGUUAGAGAAAAUUCCCCUUUAUGAAAAGAUUAGCUAGAUCUCAGAAGCCCUGGCGUCUUUAUAGUAAGAAGGAAAGAAAGGAAAUUAUUGAUAACAUGAGACUAGUUUUUAUAUAUUGGUAUAGGAACUAUCAUGAGAAAGUGAGAAAACUAUUAGGGGAUAUGGAGUAAAGAAUAAAAACUAUAUAGAUGGAAAGCUAAACACAGGACCUUGAGAACUAGUCUCCCACAGUAGAAAGUAAAUAAUGGUGUGAGACAGAGUUCUAAAAGACAAAACAAAAACUAAAAGUCCUUGCCAAUAUCUUGAGCACGGAAAAAGGAGCACGUAGAAGAAGCUCUAUUUUGGUUAUGCUUAAUCUUGAUUUAUGUCUGGAACCCUGAGUGGGGUGAUGUAAUGAACCUGCCAAGUUCUUUGAUCUGUUUUGUACAAAAACUGAAGCUUUACAGAAGUAAAGUUGCAGCAGAUUUUCACUACACAGUGUGUCUGUCUGUCAUUUCCCUUGCAUCGUAUCCUGACUAUCCUAUCCUUCACCCUGGUCCCCCGUGGGUGGUGGUCUCCGAGAGGGACGGUCCGCGGCAGUUGGCGCUCGGAACAGGGACUGGAGGAUAGGUAAGCUUUUCCCCCUUCUCUUUUAUUUUUCCAUAGUCAGGAACGACUCUCACCAGGACGCUGCAGGUUCGCCGGUAAAGGAUGACCGGUUAAGUGUGAGUAAUCUAAGUAUAAGGGAACCAUGGGGCAACAUAAAGCAUGUAUGGAUGCCUCACCAGACAUAGUCCUAGAGAUGGCCUAUGCUGAAGGAAUGAAGGGAUAGAAAUUAAGCGCCUAAGUUAAGAAAACCUAUGGAGGAGGUCAAUAGAACCUCUCGGCUCCCACUUGUUAUAAAUGUGGGGAAUUUAAAGACACUCUCUGUGCCUCUUUUCUUUUCUGAGCUAAGUUCUUCACUGUGAUAACACUCAAAGUCUCUUAUGCUGGCCAGCAGUUUCCUGUCUUAACUCUUUCCUAUCCUAACACUGAUUAUAAAAAGUUUUAAAUCAUACCAAUUUAAAACUAUAAUAAUAAUAAUAAUAAUAAUAAUAAUAAUAAUAAUAAUAAUAAAAAAAGGGGGUUGUCUAAAAAUGUCUGGCUUAACCAAUAAAAUAAAGAUGAAAGAGGGUCAAAACUAAAAAUUACAAAAGGUAUAUAAAAGGUCAUAAAAGGUAUAUAAAAGGUCAAAAGAUGUUUACUGUACCUAAAUGUUUAAUGGUUAAUUCUGGUUUUAAAAAGCUUUGUUUGUCUUGUUAAAGGUUCAUGGUUUUUUCUUUUUAAAAAAUGUAUGCUUGUUUUGUUAAAAAAUUAAUCUUUGGUAAUUGUAAGUUUUGUACUUGUAAUCUUUCUCUGAGCUCUGGUCAUUAGAUUCGGUUCACAAAAAUUUGGAUGUCUUUUUGAUAUAAAUAAUGUUAAAACUGUUUUAUGCUGUUCUUUAUUGAUAUACAAGAAUGUCAGUUACCACCGGGAAAAACUGGGACUAGACUCCCAAAAAGGAAAAAAAGUUACAAAGAAAAACACCAAGGUCAGAUGAUAAUCACCAAAACUGUUAACUACAAUAAAAUAGGUUGUAAAACAUAAAUACUUAUAAAAUGUUUCAUAUUGUUAAUUUUUGAAUUUUAGCCUCAUUGUCUUUGUUAAAAUUAUUGACUUAAAGUUUCAAUCUGACAAAAAUAUGGUAUAUAGUUCUGGUCUUCUUAAAGAUACAAACUGUUAAAAAUAUGAGUUAAUAAUCAGUCAUCCUCAAAGUACUGGUGUAAAUGCAAGUAAUUUAAAAUAAUAGAGUCUGUCUAAUCAGAGAUACCUGGACAGUCCUAAAUACUUCAAAAAUCUAUAGAAAAUGGCAUUUAAAAUAAAAAUUUAAAAAGCUUAUAUCAUACAGAGACUCUGAGAUCCUAACAAUGACCCAAGGUCUCCACAUGGAUAACAACGAUGCUGACCACUGGGUAAGAUGACCCCCAGUGCAACACCAGCUGCCUGGAUCUGGUCCAGACUGUGGACAAACAGGAGGACCUUGGAAAAUUGAUUGCACCACUUUGCCCAGACGAAGUAAGGUCAGUCUUUUGCAUGUCCCUCUUCCACAGAAACCAAUCACUUUAUGGAUCUGGUAAAGCCUGCUGUUCUGAUACUUCUGCCUCAAAUGCUAUGCAGACCUGGAAUGCUGACUCCCCCAUUUGGAUCCCAGAUCGCCUCAUCCGACCUGCUGUUGCAAAACAGAAGAAGGAAAAGACGGUGGCGGAAGCAGAAAAAGCAGCUCCAGCAGCAAAUGAAGAAGUCUUCAAAGAGAAGAAACUAGAGCAGCUUUAAGUAUAGUAAAAAAGGGGGGGCAAAAGCAAGGGGCCAUUUUUAUGGGAAAGAAGAGAUUUGCAUAAAAGCAGUAUGCUCUGCAAAGGCUCCUUGUGUCUCUGCUUAGAAAGAGAGAGAUUUAAGGAAAAGAAGUCAAAGUCCAGAGAGGAACCACAGGAAGGACUUUGGUAAAAGUUUUCAUGUUGUGUGGAAAGUAAGAGAAGGCAGGAGACUGGAAUAGUGAAGAGAAGGGAAGGGAAAGAGGAGUUCGUCUAAAGUAAAAUGUCUGGCUGGGCCAGAAGAGCAGAGGGUGACAGGAAAAGUCUGACCGAGGGUGUGUGGGAAGUUGUAGAAGGCCAGAGGGGGCGCGAACUGUAUUUGCUUUGGUUUCUCAUACCUGCAAAUACUGAAUUUGAAAAGAAACCGUAAAACGUGUUGGAAAUUUGACUAUGUUAGGUUAAUUCUGGUUGGAUUUCUUCAUUUCAAAAAGAAGCUGGAAGCAAAAAUAAAUGUGCUGGAGGAAGUAGUGCUCGCUCUUGGUCAGGACAUUGCUAAUUUAAAAACAACUCUAUCGACACGUUGUCAUGAUAAUUUUAAAUCAAUCUGUGUCACACCAUUACCUUAUAAUACUUCACAGCCAUGGGAUAAAGUUAAGGCUCACCUACAGGGAUUGUGGCAGGAUAACGAUAUUACUCAUGAUUUAGCCGCAUUACAAAAGGAUAUUUCUGCUAUGAGUCAAUCUCAUUUACAAUUAGGGGGACUGCAAGAUUUGGCUUCACAAUUGGAACGUGGACUUAAGAGCCUUAAUCCCUUAAAUUGGGUACAGUACUUUGUAUUCAUUGGAGUAAUUAUACUCUUGAUAGUAUUGGUCAUCUUUUUAUUCCCCUGUCUCUUAAAGUGCUUAUUCUCUUCAUUACAGGCAGUGGAACAGGAGGUGUUCGAGCUUCAUUUUAAAAAUAAAAAAGGGAGACCUGCCACGUCCACAGCAGUGACUGCCGUGUAGUGACAAAAUGCCUCUGCGCUGGCUUUUGCCUGCUGAAGGAUUGGGGUUAGAGCUUCUUGGAGCGAAGCCCCAGGUGGUCCCCCUGGCAAUCAGCAGUCCAGAGAGGACCUGAUGCCCUAGGCAAAUCUCGUAUCUGGAGAUGGCCUUGAGAGCGAGCCCUCCUAACACCUUGCUUGAUCUUUCUCUGUAUUUCUUAAUUUUCCUGUUUGCAGCUGACCGCUUACCAAGAGAUCAAAGUACGUCCUUGGCUUGGCUCCACUGUUCAAUAAAGCAGUCCUUGAGGAACUGAAGUAUGCCCCACGCCACAUGAGCCUGGGAAACUUUAUUAUUUAUGAAACAGAAGCGGCUAAAGUUGAUAUGUUACGAGGGAAUCGUCAUAGUGAAUCAGAUUUAGAGAGAAAAGGAGAGUUAGAGAAAAUUCCCCUUUAUGAAAAGAUUAGCUAGAUCUCAGAAGCCCUGGAGUCUUUAUAGUAAGAAGGAAAGAAAGGAAAUUAUUGAUAACAUGAGACUAGUUUUAAUAUAUUGGUAUAGGAACUAUCAUGAGAAAAUGAGAAAACUAUUAGGGGAUAUGGAGCAAAGAAUAAAAACUAUAUAGAUGGAAAGCUAAACACAGGACCCUGAGAACUAGUCUCCCACGGUAGAAAGUAAAUAAUGGUGUGAGACAGAAUUCUAAAAGACAAAACAAAACUAAAAGUCCUUGCCAACAUCUUGAGCACGGAAGGGGGAACACGUAGAAAGGAGCACGUAGAAGAAGCUCUAUUUUGGUUAUGCUUAAUCUUGAUUUAUGUCUGGAACCCUGAGUGGGGUGAUGUAAUGCACCUGCCAAGUUCUUUGAUCUGUUUUGUACAAAAACUGAAGCUUUACAGAAGUAAAAUUGCAGCAGAUUUUCACUA